rnacentral:rRNA from 1 species
UUCCGGUUGAUCCUGCCGGAGGCGACUGCUAUUGGAGUUCGAUUAAGCCAUGCGAGUAGAAAGAAAUUAGAUUCUUUGCAUACUGCUCAGUAACGCGUGGAUAACCUGCCCUACACUGGGGGAUAAACUCGGGAAACUGAGUAUAAUACCCCAUAGACCACUACGCCUGGAACGGUGAGUGGUUGAAAGCUCAGGCGGUGUAGGAUGGGUCUGCGGCGUAUCAGGUCGUAGGGGGUGUAAUGGACCUCCUAGCCAUCGACGCGUACGGGUUGUGGGAGCAAUAGCCCGGAGACAGAUUCUGAGACACGAAUCCGGACCCUACGGGGUGCAGCAGGCGCGAAAACUUCACACUGCAGGAAACUGUGAUGAGGGAACUCCAAGUGACUGCCCAAUGGGUAGCCUUUUCUUGAAUCUUAAUAGUUCUUGGAAUAAGGGCUGGGAAAGACCGGUGCCAGCCGCCGCGGUAAUACCGGCAGCUCAAGUGGUCGUCGCUUUUAUUGGGCCUAAAACGUCCGUAGCCUGUUUGGUAAAUCUGUGGGUAAAUCAACGAGCUUAACUCGUUGAAUUCCGCAGAGACUGCCAGACUAGGGACCGGGAGAGGUAUGAGGUACUCUGGGGGUAGGGGUAAAAUCCUGUCAUCCUCAGAGGACCACCUGUUGCGAAGGCGUCAUACUGGAACGGAUCCG